rnacentral:lncRNA from 1 species
CAGACUUCAGCCAGGACGUGGGAGGACAACUGGACCCUGAUCUUUACAGAGAUCCAAUGUUGGUCUCCUUGGGGGUCUCAGUUUUCCAAACCAGAUGUGACCCCCAUCUGGAACACGGAGAAGAGCCAUAAAAGGCUAGGGAACGCUUUCCUGUCCAGAUCUGGUGGUCAGAUCUGAAACCAAAGAUGAACUCAGCACAGAGGUUUUCCCGGGAAGAACCAGCCCUUAGAGUCGUGAUGAGUAAGAACACUUAGCAGGAUGGCCUCUGCUCCCUGAGACAGGAUAACCUCCGCCCAGUGACUUGACAAACUGCCCCAAGGCACCGCAAAAUCCAGAGAGGCAACGAUGACAUGUGCUGUCCCCCCCCCCAGGCCCUUCCCUGGAGCCCAGAGUCUGUCCCAGGCUGGAGUCCACAGGCCGAUCCCAGUCGCUGCUCUUAGAAGGAAAGAAGGAAGUGCGGGUCCAGGGACUGGAAUGCAGAUAUGAUGAAAUGAUUCAAAUUCAACCUGCAGUCAGAGAAUGCAACCUCAGGGGUCGGAA